UGAUUUUCAUUGCCUGUGGUUUAUUGCUGGCUGGUUACAAUUUUAUAGUGCACAAUAUUACUUUUGUAUUUCGUGUUUAAUGUACACAUGGGUUGAAAUUGCAAUGAGGAUCGAGUUACCCAUUGUAUUUCUCAUAGAAAAGUGUACAUUUUAAAGGUUGGUAUUAUGUUGCAUUGUCCUCCAUUUUAGGAACCAACGCUUUAAUCAUAGACAGUCACACCAAAAUACUAGGAUGCAAAUGAAUUGAAAUAUCUUAAAUGAAAAGGUUCUUUUUUUAAAACAACAACAACAACACACAAUUAGCUCCUUUGACAAUCUUGGAGUGGAAUCCCUGUUCUUUUUAAUAUAAUACUUUGUGUUCAUAAAUGGCUCACUAAUGAUUUUGUUUCCAUUGCCUCGACAAAGGUGGUUACAUAACACUUCUGUUAUCUGAGGACCACUUCUUACAAAACUCUUAGUUAUUUGGGCACUGAUACAAAGUGCACACAUUACAAAUUAGUUGUGAAUGAAACAUGCGCUGAGCUGGAAAGGACUGACCUGGUUCCUUGCCAUUCACAAAGACAAGUGGUGAUUUAAAGUCAUGUGUGCUACUGAAGGAAUUUUUUUUAUUUUAGUUCAGGAGAGUUUGGGUUAAAACCAACAUGUGCUGCAAAGGUAGUUUGACACACACACCCUGCAUAUUUUCCAGCACUUCACAUCUAGACUCUCCCUGUGUUAACUAGAUAGGGUAAAUGAUAUUAAAGCAUGGCUGCAAGUUUGGUCUCUUUAAUAAUGUCUAAAUGGUGAAAGCAUCCUAGUAACAGAUUGAUAAAUGCCUUCCUUAAAUGUUUCAGUUCGAAGAACCAAUGGAGUGUACGGUUUUCAGAUUGGUUAGCAUGGUUCUGAAUGUCUGGAAUGCUAAGAAGAGAACUCUUUCACUCUCUCUUUAGCUGGCUUACGAUGUGACCUUAGGGCAGUUGAUUAGCCUUACAGGAUUGACUUUCCAUCUGUUUCAAAGAGGGAUUUGCUUUGUAUCAGUGCUGUCGUUUUAAGGCAUUCCUCCUCAUUUUUGACAUGAGCAAGCCAUGAGGUCCCGUUACACAGUUUGCUGAUAACACCCAGUCUCAACCAGCAACGGAACCAACAGCACAAGAACUGUAGAAAUGAAAGCUAAUAUAGCAGUGACAACAGGACUUCCACGAUAUGGCUUCACCUGGCCUAUGAAGUUGCUCUGCUCAGACUGAAAAGCAAGUCCAAUCUGUUGUUCAGUAGCAGAUGGAGCUGCUGCUCUCACUGUACAUUUCGGCUUGCUUGCUCCCAGUGUUAGGAACUGGGAUAGAAAAGCUAGGAGCCAAAUGGCUUCUGGGACCUGGGUUGUGGGCGCCAAAACAGACUGUUGAGGCGCCAUUUGGGGGGGGAGGGGCGGCAACAAUUUUUUUUAUUAUACAAUUCACAUAAAAGACACAUGGUCAAUAUCACAUUUUUAACACAAAUUGUUAAUGCGUGUUUAAUUUGGUGUUUACAAUAAGAAUAUUGGUACCAUACUUCAGUUUUCAAAACACUCUACUCUUUAUUGUUAAACUCUUAACAUAUUGUCUAUCUUUAACAUACUUCGAGGCUUCAAAGCGCAUACAUUUCAGUAAUCCCUGAGUGUCAGCCAGGCACACAAAAAAUGACAGCCAGACUUUCUGAGGUGCUCGCAAAUGGAGAAUCUUUAGGCGCAAAAUGCGCCUGGCGCCCUGCUAAUUUCGAACCCUGCUUGCUUGCCUCCAAACUGCUAGUUCUGACUAUCGCGCAGGGAUUCGGUGCAUGAAGCCUGUGUUUUCACUGAUGGCUUCCUCACAGACUGUAUUACACACCAUGGUCUUGCUGACACUGAUUUGAUUGGAAGUAGGGUGGCAGUGCAUUACCCGAGGUCAACACUUUCUCCUUUCAUUAAG